rnacentral:rRNA from 1 species
CCGGACCUGACUGCUAUCGGAUUGGUACUAAGCCAUGCGAGUCAUUGUAGCAAUACAAGGCGGACGGCUCAGUAACACGUAGUCAACCUAACCUAUGGACGUGGAUAACCUCGGGAAACUGAGAAUAAACCGCGAUAGAUCAUUAUGCCUGGAAUGGCUUAUGGUUCAAACAAUUUAUUGCCGUAGGAUGGGACUGCGGCCUAUCAGCUUGUUGGUGAGGUAAUGGCCCACCAAGGCUAUAACAGGUACGGGCUCUGAGAGGAGAAGCCCGGAGAUGGGUACUGAGACACGGACCCAGGCCCCAUGGGGCGCAGCAGGCGAGAAACCUUAGCAAUGUGCGAAAGCACGACUAGGUUAAUCCGAGUGAUUCCUGUUGAAGGAAUCUUUUGUCAGUCGUAAAACCACAGACGAAUAAGGGGUGGGCAAGUCUGGUGUCAGCCGCCGCGGUAAUACCAGCACCUCGAGUGGUCAGGAGGUUUAUUGGGCCUAAAGCAUCCGUAGCCGGCUUUGCAAGUCUCCGGUUAAAUCCAGCUGCUCAACAGAUGGGCUGCCGGAGAUACUACACAGCUAGGGAGCGGGAGAGGCAGACGGUAUUCUGUGGGUAGGGGUAAAAUCCAUUGAUCCAUAGAGGACCACCAGUGGCGAAGGCGGUCUGCCAGAACGCGUUCGACGGUGAGGGAUGAAAGCUGGGGGAGCAAACCGGAUUAGAUACCCGGGUAGUCCCAGCUGUAAACGAUGCAAACUCGGUGAUGCAUUGGCUUAUGGCCAAUGCAGUGCCGCAGGAAGCCGUUAAGUUUGCCGCCUGGGAAGUACGGACGCAAGUCUGAAACUUAAAGGAAUUGGCGGGGGAGCA